rnacentral:lncRNA from 1 species
UUAAAAUCGCACCAGUUUACGUUCCUGCCAGCUGUGGACCUGCGUCAGGUCUGGGGGAGGGUCUCUCAGGGAGACAGGGUUCCCCUAUAAUGACCCUUUCUCCAGGUCCCUCGUCCUCACUCUGGCGAAGACGACGAAGCCGGGUGAGACAGGUUCAAAGCCAAGCCUCUGGCCGGAAAUGAGGAAGUCAGAACGGAAGUGACGCAAAGCGGAAGUGUAUCUGUGGCACCGUGAAGGCAGGAGAAAGCUCCCUUCACAACACAGCAGGCUGCGAGGAAGGGGUACCCAGAUGCAAAAAUCCUUGAUCACAAAAUAGCAACGCGGAUCACAGUGGCCUGCUUUCAAGUUUUUGAGUGAAUCAGCUUAAAGCUGUAAUAGAUAUUUCAGUCAUUUUAAGAGGCAAUGAAAUUGAAAGGAAAAAACUCAAUUUGUAACCUGUGUGGAUGCUCCAGGAACACAGCCCGCGCAGAUUUCUCGGGUCCACCGCGUGACCUCGGGUGCCGACACAUCCACUCUGCACGUCUGUUUUCCUCAUAAAACGAGUGUGGCUUCUACCUUCAAGAAUCAUUGUGAGGCCGAUCUGAGAACAGGAGGCAAAUCACCCAUCCAAGCGUGUGGCACAUAUGAACCGCUCAGUGUUUGUAUUUUUAUCACCUUUCGGAAUUCAUUUCUGUUUCCUCCAGUUUUGGCCCAAUGUCUUAUAACCAUGCCCUGAACUAUGGCUUGGAACAAUGAGUAAUAUUUAUGCUGUUGAAUGUGUAGCCUGAGGUGAAAAACAAGCAUUGUUUUUAGACAGAUUCAAACUCUUUGCAUAUCCUGUAACCAAACUUCUGCAUUAUAGUGCAGCCAAGCAGCGGAGCCAAGGAAGGAUAAGCUGGGGAGACCCAGGUCGGGAAACAGUGCGAAGAUGGUUACUGUAUCUUCUCAUUUGUAGCACACGCAGGGUUGUUUUCCUUGAGUAGGGCAUGGGCUCAGAGAAUGAUGUCAAGCGAGCACAAGUUUGGAAACUAAACAGGACACAGGCCUGGGCUUCUGCAGCUUUUUGGAAAUCAUAAUGACAAUCUGAGAAUGGGAAAAUGAUUGCUAUUUACAGCUGAAGCUCAAAAAUUUUUGCAAGAUUUUGCUUUGACAAUUUUUAUCUUUGACAGCUCUUUUUAACCUCCUGCUUAAAGGGUGGCGAGGCAACAACAACAGAUCAGCUUGGAUUUUCCUGCAAAGAAAGGGCGCU